CCCUUAGAUGUUCUGGGCCGCACGCGCGCUACACUGAUAAUGUCAACAAGCUUUACCUCGGCCGAUAGGUCUGGGCAAUCUUCGAACUAUUAUCGUGAUGGGGCUAGAUUAUUGCAACUAUUAAUCUUAAACGAGGAAUUCCUAGUAAGCGCGAGUCAUCAGCUCGCGUUGAUUACGUCCCUGCCCUUUGUACACACCGCCCGUCGCUCCUACCGAUUGGAUUGGCUGGUGAAGCGUUCGGAUUGUGGGUUCGGAGCGGUUCGCCGUUCUGGGCUUGCGAGAAGUUCGUUAAACCCUCCUAUCUAGAGGAAGGAGAAGUCGUAACA
rnacentral:rRNA from 1 species